AUGUCACGUCAGUGGUUGUUUUUGUAUGAGAUUUAUAAUGCCCUGAAUGUGUUUUGUGUGUUAUUGAGAUUAGGGAGCUGCUGCCAGAUAACAACCAUGAAAUUCGGUCAAGCCAUUGUGAAGAAUCAAGUACUGAGACCAGCAGCACUUCAGUGGACAGCAGAUGUCUCUCCAUUGAUCAAGAGUCAUUCCAGUCCUUCGCUGUUGCUGAUGAGACACAAGACAGUUUGCACACAGACAACGAAAUGGAGCAAAGCACUGAGGAGUUUUUGCUGAUGGACUAUGACUACAAUGUUUUACCAUCUCAAAAAGGUAUGGAUAAUGUUCUUUAUUUGGGCAUGCUUUUUUAAAUACAAAAUGGUAUGUCAGCAUAGUAUGUUCACAUGUCUGCAUUUAGGUUUGCCUUGCCUACUGUGUAAUACUGAUUCAUUGGUAAAAUUAUUGUAUAUUGCUUUUAUCUAUUACAAUAUUAAUUGAUGAUGAUUUAUUGCAGUUGCUGAAGAAGCUAUCUGUGGCAGUCCCCCUUCUAAAUGGUCAACCAGUGAGGGAGAGCAUGGUAGGCCUAAGUCUCUGCCCACUCACAUUAUAAAUUUACACUGUAAAAGUUAAUAUAUUCAGCACAGUGUGUCGUAAUUGUUUUCCAUUUACAGGAGUGACCGAUAGCAUCUAUGAUUUCCCAAACCCUGUGAUUAGGAAAUUGACUGAACACACAAUUGGUAAAAGAUUGAAAAUUACAAGAGUGUCGUCACUCCUACAGUAUUGGUGUUUACUCUAGUAAAGAGAGAAUAUGGGAUUUUAUGUGUCAGGACAGGAGUAAUAUCUAGGUCAGCUUAAAAUAUUUGCUAUAUUAUGUACCUGAAAAUGAAAUGUACCUAACAAACCAGUGAACGUGUGAUCACUUUUGCAGAAUCUCUCAACAGUAGUGAGAGGCCUGAGAGUGGUGGUCUUCUGAGUGACAUGAUUGCCUGUUUGGACAGUUAAUCUGCUGCCUGGGUCAAACCUGCUCUUCCAUGAACCUCAUGGGUCACAGUGAGCAAGACUGAGAUAUUGAUAAAUGUUUGUUGUUGCAGUACAUCUUAAAGUUCUUCAUGAUAAAUCCAUUUUUCUUCCAAACUGUGAUCGAUCAUUAAGAUCAGUGAUUAAAUAUGUUUAUUGUGGAGUUUAAUGCCUAUUUUUAUUUGUCAUAAUUCUAAAUAAAUAUCACUUUAAUAAAUCA
ensembl:lncRNA